rnacentral:lncRNA from 1 species
CACUUGCACUGCGGGUGCUCUCUGGCCCCCACCCCAUCAUCGCGCAACACACCCCCUUCAACAUGCGCGGCCACCCUUUCAUUGCCCUGCGCCCCGAGCGGUCCCACCGCCCGGCAAAACACUGAGCAAGCCGCUGCUCUCACCUUGCUUGACACACUUGAGCCGGAGGGGGUCCUUGCAGUGUUUGAUCACGGCCAGCACGUCCCUGAUGGUGAGCCCCGCCACGGGGGUCUCGUUCACCUCCAGCAGCAGCUCCUCCGACACCAAUUUGCUGCCGCUCUCAUAGGCCACCUUGCCGGGCUUCACCUCCCCCAGUGUUCCCUUCUUUUCGCCAGGUUUGCAUCCAAGAGAGGGGAGGACAGGGGCAAAAGGAUGCAGGGAGGCUGCUGAUUUCCACUGAAGAGCUAAUUUCCUGUGAGACAUUAACAGUGAUUUAAGAAAAAGAUUCCUGUAACUGUAAUGUCUUACAAUAACAGAAUGCAGGAGAGCACAUAUCAAUGAAGAAAAGACAAAAUGUACUUAUCCAUGAAGCUGAGGUUAAGAAACCAGUGUCUUCAAGAGCCAGGGACAGCACUGGGUCUGUGCAGAGUUGAGAGAUGGUGAUGACAUGUGGUUUCCAGCAUUCCUCACCCAGUCCAGGGACACUGUGGGUGUGCCCAGCUUAAGUCCAGUAACUGGAAAUACAAGCCCAAGUUCUGGAGAGUUUGAGCUGCAGAGAUAUAUAUGGGAACACUUUGAAUCUUGACUCAUUGGCCAUAACCAGCAGAGUGGAAAAUACAAGAAGAGAAAAAAACAUUGAACUGCGAUUUUAUAACAUCCUUUACUAGGCAGAGAGAAGAGGAAACACCAGGAAAGAAAACUGUAUUACGAUGUGAAAACUUAAUGUUGAGAAAUUCAGGCAUCUUGGGGUUAGUGAGGAGAAGUUUUAGGGGCUUAGAUUCUUCUAAACACAUGUACAGAAAUGCAUAUUUCAUCUGAUAUCAAAUGGCAUUUAUAGUGCUAAUCUUUACCUCAAGACUUCACAUCUUUUGGUGAUUGCAUCUUUUAGGUUUAUAGCAGCUAAGUUUGCAUGAAAACACCAGGGCUGUUUCAUUUCAGUCAAGAAUUAAUGUUCAUUGAUUGUGCUUCUGCAUUUCAUGUAACUAUUGUAGAAUUUGUUUUAGUUUUAUGAGGGAAUAAUUGUUCCAACUUCUAUAUAACUCAGGAAUUUACUCUCAAACAACACUGUCAAUUAGUUACUUAUCUCUCUGGAAAUGAUCUGGGAACAUGGAGAGGAAAGGGAGGAAGGGGCAAAAUCUGACCACUUAAAUCUAAGCAUAUUAGAUCAUUUUAUGCUAGAAAGUCCUGAAUGAUGUGACUUUCGUUCUUGUAAAACACCUCUUUCCAUAGAUUCAUGGCCCAAACAGUAUAUAAAGAGUGGGGAAGGAACUGCAUUUGCAAAUAGUUCAAAUCAUUGCUCCAUCUUAACUACGCAGUUCACAAAGUGUGAAGAAAUGUGAUCAUCUCAAAAAAGAUAAUGGGGAAAAAAUAUGUUUUGUUCUGUGACUUUAAAGUCUUGCAAUAUUUUACAUAAAUGAUAAUGGGUGCUUUAAUAAGAACUCUUGAUACUUUUGUUAUUGUAUUCAAUAUAUGCAUAUAAUACAACAGGAUGAUAUUGUUUUGGAUUUGGAAAUGUAUUCUUUCUUAUGCAAUCUUAUGCAGUCAUACUGCUUGAAUAUCAUUACCUGAAUUUAUCUUUCUUUUUUUUGUUGUUGUUUUACACUCUACUUAUUUGGUGCCUGUCAGUCUUUUGUCGUCAGUUUAUAUUCUACUAAACUCAAAAAGACAAUCUCAUACCUUUUGUAAUUGUAGGCAUUCUUUACUAGAUUUUUAAAUACACUUCAAAAAUUCAAGUACUUUGAUUUCAUGCCAUCAAGUAGCUGAAUCUAUCCCCCCGUCUCUUUUUAAAUUUAAGUGAGUAGUUCAAUUUCUGUCACUUUCUACUUUGUGAAUUCUAAAUCUUUUAAAACCAUCUUGCCAUUUUUCGUGCACUUACCCUUACAGAAAACUCUGUGAAACACUACUUAUCUCUACUUUUAUGUUUUUAACUCCUUUUUUAUAUUACUAUUCCCUCUGCUUUCUAAAUGCACAUAUUAAUUUGUUCUUUUUAUUCUCUGUAGCUCUUCUCAGUGUAUGAAUUCAGUUUCCCAUCAGUCUCCAUACAAUUAAAAAAAAGUUGAGUAUUCUGUUAUUUUAAUAAGAUAUCUAGUGCCCAUAUUCUAAUUCUGCCCCUUAUUUUUAAUAUAAUUUUAUUGUUGAUUUAAAAUGACAACAGUUUCAAUUCCCAGAAAGUGAAAGGAAACAAAGGAAUAAUAUUAUAGGCUUAAUUUUUAUCAGUGAACUUGUAGGUGAAGAAAAGAUUUGGGGAAGGAAAUGAACAUAUUAUAUUGCAAAAUAGUAAGGAACAAUCAGAUGUGUUUUCUAGUCUCUGGAAAAGCAUGUUUCAAGAAAUUCAAUGAAAAGUUCAUCAUGCUUGCUUAGAUUGUUGAGAAGCAAAAACACUGAUGAACAUUUGGAAGCAAUGAGAAUGUAAUUCUAAUCAUACUCUUUUAAUAAUGUUGCAAAACUCUCCAAACACUACUCUGUGUGGAUGUCUUUCAGAAUAUGAUGAAUACUAGUAGUCUUAUUCUGCCCUUUUCUCUCUAUCACAAUAUAUACAUUCUAUAUUGCAUACACAUAUUUUCCAAAUAUUACAUAUAAUUUCAUGUAAUUUAUAGACCUAUUAAGGCCCAACCAUUUUCUUGGAUAGGGGAUUCUUUAGAAGUCCAGCUUAAAUAAAGCCCGUAUAGAAAGUUUUUUUAAAAUUUAUACAUAAUCACCUAAAGUAACCUUAUCUACUGAACUCUUAGUACAUGCUACUGGAACCUUUUAUCAUGUUUCUUCCUGGCUUGCAUUACAACACUGUUGACAUAUCUCAGCCUUACUUCUAGGCUUCUUUGAGAGCAUGACUCAUGUUUGUAUUCCUCACUGAGGUUGAAUGAAUAAGAGAAACUACAGUAGUAGGAAAAAACAGUACAUGUACAUAUCAAUGAAUAUGAAAGGGUCAAAUGGAUCUAUUAUAGUAAGCACAAAAUCAACUGACACCAGCAAAGUAAACCCAAAAUUUUUAAUGGUAUUUUAAUAGAUCAAGAGGAGCAAGCAGAUUUUUGAGACAGUUGUCUCCUACUUUCUCUAUCACAGGGAGUAAUUUUAAAAGAAAAAUGGAGGGUAAGUUUCUUUAAGAGAAAAUUGUAGUUUAAAACAGGUCAUGGGAUAAUUAGAAAUAAUUUAAUUUCUUUAGAGGAUUUUAAUCUUUCAACUGCUUGCAAUUAGAUCCUAAGGCAAUAAAAGAAUAAGGAGAUUUGGAAAACCAUUGUCUGUAAUCUCUGAAGAAAAGUGGACAUUAGGGGAGUCAGUUGAAAAGCAAAGCUAUCACCAUUUUCUAAAGAGGAAAAAGGUGAACCUCACAAACUAUAGACCAAAAAAAUAGGACAUCGAGAGAAAGAAUAUGAAGCUAGCAUAGGUUCACAAAGAAUGAGUCAAAUCAAACAACAUGCAUUUUUUAUUUAUAAAGCAUGACUUGUUCAUUGUCAAUUCAUGUUAGCUUAAUCAUUAGGCAUUAAUGCCAUCACUGCAAUGCAUAUGUCAGCAAUAAAUAAUCAAAGACCAGGCUUCCAUCAUUCUGUUUAAUAUCUUCAAGUAAUGCUUAAGUUUGCAAAUGCUCUUUUAACACAUUCUCCAUAUGCAGCCUGCCCAGCACUGCACACAAUAGACCUGUUACUUCCCCCUCACGAGCACUCCUAAUAUUUCAUGUGCUCAUCCAAUUGACUUCUCCCACUGGUGCCUCAUAUUGAAUUUGUAGAAUCACACCUGCUCCUUUUUCAAAACUCUUCUGAGUUUUUUCUUAAAUAAUUCACUGACCCCAAAGUUGUCAGAUAUUUGAAGACUACUCGCACAAUUUUAAUAUUAUAAAUGUAUAAUGUAAAUGUAAUUAAGAUUUGUAUAAUGUACGAUGUACUUUGGUAAAUAAAAGUAUGCUGUGAAUAAAUACGUAUGAUACAAUUCAAAAUUUUACAUAAAUAUGUGAUAAAAUUUAGCUCAUAUUCUUUUUUUUUUUCUUUGAGACGGAGUCUCACUCUGUUGCACCCAGGCUAGAGUGCAGCAGCAUGAUCUCAGCUCACUGCAACCUCUACCUCCUGGGUUCAAACAAUUCUCCUGCCUCAGCCUCCUGAGUAGCUGGGAUUACAGGUGCCCGCCACCAUGCCCAGCUAAUUUUUUUCUAUUUUUGUUGUUGUUGUUGUUUUUAGUAGAGACGGGGUUUCACCAUGUUGGUCAGGCUGGUCUUGAACUCCUGACCUCAGAUAAUCCACCUGCCUCGGCCUCCCAAAGUUCUGGGAUUACAGACGUGAACCACGGUGCCCGGCCUAGUUCAUGUUCUUUAAGGACAAUUAUGAAUAUUUUUAUGCACUGUUAAUUUUCAUUAAGAUAUUGAUCAAUUAAUAGCUAUAUAUGUUCUAUAAAUUAAUCCUAUCUAGUUUCAAUCUUAAAUUGUUUGCAUAUACCAAUCUAGUUUAUUGUUUGCAUAUAUUUUAUAGUGUAGAGAUUAGGCAUUUUAAUAAAAUUUUAAAAUUUCCAGGACAUACUGUUAAUGACUAUGCUUCCUACUAUAGGCCAUAAUUAAUUUUUUUCUAUUGUCAACAAUAUUUUGGUAGGGAUGAUCAGGAAAUAAGGAAAUGUUUCCUUCAUUUGUUAACAAUAGGUGUUUGGGGAUUUUAAAAUGAAAAUUGAAGAAGUAAAAGACACCAUAUAUUUAGUUUGUUUGAUUUCGUGGCUUCAAGAGUUCAAUAAUUUAUUGAAAUAUUUUACAGACCAAAGAACAACAGAUAUAUUACGUUUAUAAGCCCCCACAUAUUUUAAAGGAUAAUGGUUUAUAUAUGAAAAUUCCCUGAACCUACACUUCAUCAGGAAAAGCUAAAUAAAAGAAGUUUACAUUUCCUAGGACUAAUGGAGAUUUAUUUCCCAGUCCUCUUCUCUGGAGACAAAUGUAGGUCUCUCUUGAAAAGCAGAAAGUUUUGCAUAUGAGGUAUGAUUUAGUGGGCUAGAAACAUCUUUUCCACCCUCCCCAAAAUGUUUCACUAUGUUUUAUCAUACUAUCUGAUAAUUUUGCACUAAAGUUUUCUUUCUGUGUUAAGAAAAUGCAAAUAUCUCUGAAUGGGUCUCUUUGCUUUAGUCAUACUCAUAUGGCUACUACUGAACAAAAUAUGUUCAUUACAGGAUGAAGGGAAUGUUGCCAGCCAGCAAAUCCCUAGAGUUUGCACUACACCAAACGUUGCUUAGCAAUUUCCACGAUUUUCUCAGUCUAAUUUGCAAGAAUCAAGGAGAUGUUUGUGUAUGCUACAUGAAGUUGUAAAAUUGGUAUUUAUUGUAUGUUUCUAUAUCGAAAGCUUUACAAACAAAGGAAAUGGAAAGUUAACAGGUGGAUAUGAUAGUGUGGCACUACUUUAGCUGGAUGGUAAGGGAGAGCUUCUCUUAGGAAGUGUUUUAGGCCAGGACUUGAAUAAUGAACAGUAUCUAGUUGUACAAAAAUCUGGAGGAAAGACUUUUCAGGCCCAGGAGAAAUGAAAAUUCUUUUCAUGCAUACAAGAAUGAAAGUGAAAAUUACCUACUCUAUGUCCUGAAGUGGGAAGUUGGCUUGCCAGAGAGUAGGUAAUUUUCACUUUGAUUCUUUCAUGCCUUCAGUUAUACUACUUCUUAGGUUAGUUCAUAAGGGUUUCCACAAUUUGGUUCCCACUUAAAAUUUAAAACUUCCCUAACCCAUUCCCACCAUAUAUUGUGCUAAUCCAUGCAUAUGUGACUUUGCGUAUGCUGUUUUCAUUGUUUAAUAUUCUUCUCAUGCAUUCGUUCUUUCCUGAUAACGAACUCAUCUUUGAAACUCCCCUUCAAGCAUCCUCUACUUUAGGAGGCCGCUUCUCACUGUCUCCUGCCUACCACCCAUUGAAUUGUUCAAUUUUUAAGCUGCCAUUGUCUUGUGCAGUUGACACAUUUCUUUGCAAUUACUGAUUUACAUGUCUGCUUUUAUCACUGGUGAGGUUCUUUAGGACAGAGACAUUAUUAAUUCAUCUCUGGGCACAUAUGUUCCAACAUAUUAGAAGUACUACAGAGUGCUAUUACUAUGUAGUAUGUAGUAUUAGUAGUAGUUACUCACAAAUCAUUUUUAAAUAAGUGAUUAUAAUAUCUUUUUGUUAUUAUGAUUUAACACAAGAUGGAAUUUAUUUUCAGAAGUUUCCAUGAUAUAUUUGUUCUAUUUAAAAUCCAAUAGCCAUUAGAAUAUUACCAUUAUUUAAUGUAAAACAAUAAAAUAUUAAAUAUGAUCGUUCAUAUUUAAUGCAAACCGAACUCAUGGAAAUAUUGUGUAAAGAUCAAGUAAUUUUUGACAUACAAUUUUAAACUCAACUUUUCAUAUAGCAUACCUUAUGAUAUAUUUUCAGCCUACUUUUAAAUAUGUUGGCAUUGAAAGCCAGUUACUAAUUCGCUGAAUUCAUGAUUUCUUUUUAAGUUAUAGAAGUGGAAUUAUGUUUGAGAUAUUCAUUGCAUUACAUUUACCAGAACUUGAGUUCUUAACAUGGAACCUGAGAGUUUCUCCAAUUCUUAAGUCCCUGGGAGAAAUAGAUUAGCUGGAUGAGGAACUGAGAGGAAAAAUGGUCAGAGAUGUAGCAAGAGUUGGGAAGAAGGAACAAUGAUUUGCUUUCAAGGAGAUUUUUUCAUUGGUCUGUUUUCAGUGACAAACCCACUGCGAUAAUACAUGUAAAGUGAAAACAUUCAGGAAGUUCCCUUAGAAACCUCUUUUCUGGCAGUUCCUAAUUCUACAACAUUGUAUAAGUGAAAUACCAUAGUUACUGUCAUAGUAAAUUGAGCCAAGAGAAACAAGGGAGCAGGAGAAGAAAAGAAUUAAAGAGAGUUUUGUCUUUCAGUCUUCACUCUGUUUCUUCUUGCUUUUACCAGUCAUUCAGGUUUAUAUAAUUUCUUUAGAGAGGCUUCUACUAUGCAGGUCUUCCUUAAAGUCAUUGGUAUUACCUGGCAUGAUAUGUGAGCCUUUAAUAUCAGUCCCUUUAUCUCUUUAUUUUUAAAGUUUAUAUCAGUACAGAGUCCUGGAUUCUUAAUUAAUUUAAUAGGUUAGACUUUAUGCUAAUAUUCUUCAUUUUGAUGCUCAAAUUUUCCAAAAUUUGGCCAGCAGGGUUCCUUAAAGCUGGGUACCUUGCCCUUUCAACAUGUCCCUCUGAUUCUUUAUUUUUAUUUACUUAUUUAUUUAUUUAUUUAUUUAUUUAUUUAUUUAUUUAUUUAGAGACUGAGUCUUGCUCUGUCUCCCAGCCUGGAGUGCAAUGGCACAAUCUUGGCUCACUGCAACCUCUAUCUCCCAGGUUCAAGCAAUUCUCCUCCCUCAGCCUCCCGAGCAACUGGGACUACAGGCAUGUGCAACCAUGCCUGGCUAAUUUUUUUUGUAUUUUUAGUAGAGACAGGCUUUCACCAUGUUGGUCAGGCUGGCCUCGAUCUCCUGACCUCAAAUGAUCCAUCGCCUCGGCCUCCCAAAGUGCUGGGAUUACAGGCGUGAGCUGCCACACCCAGCCGUCCCUCUCAUUCUUUAAGUACUUCCAUGUUUUCUAAGGUACAAGAUGUUCCAUAUUAUUUUGUUAUUUGUCUUCCCCAGCUCUGAAAUCUGCCUUUCCUUCAAGGAGCCUUGGUUCUUUCUAGUGACAAAUUAUAUUUAGAAAGAAGAUCUGGGUAUUUGACUUGUAUAUUGCUAUUAAUUGGCCAUUGUUUCUAGUCUCUUUCAGUAGACAGAGCUAAGAAAUGUAAAAGGAAAUAUUUGAAUGUAUGUAUAUGUGAUAUAUUAAGUACAUUUAAACAUAUUAAAUUCAUGAGUUCAUACUAAUACUUUCAAUAAGCCACAAUUCCCUUUUCAUGUUUUCGAAGGAAAAAUAUCCAUUGUCUAUAUACAGUGGACAUAGAUAGUAAUAAUACUGAUCUUGAAAAGAGCAGUCUUAAAUAGAUCCCAUUAAUAGUUAAAGAUAACAUAUCUUAGAAUUCUAGAUAUUAGAGAGAUUAUCUAGAGCUGUAAUCUAGAUAUUUUAUAGAUCUUUGCUGUGCUGUUUUGAAUUUGUGUUGGAGUAGAACAAUCAGAUGACAAAAGCUCAUCCCACAUGGAAAAAUCAAAGCAUUCAUUACAGAGAGAAUUUUGAAAUAAAUGCAUAUAUAAAAAAUAUAUAUGCAUAUAUAAUGCAUAUGUAUAUGCAUAUAAAAUAUAUAUAUAUAAAAUGAGGGUUAUAAACAAUGAAGGAAAUAGUGAUACUAUCUAUGUGGGAACAAUACUAGUAUCCUCCCUUUGGAUGAAUACAGUAGCUACAGAUGCAAUUCUGGGGACUCUGUUUAGCAAUAGCUUAACUAUUGCUUGGCUACAAGCAUGGAUAACUUGUUCAAAGAUAAUGAGGAGUUGUAAAUAUUUAAAUAAACAGGAUUUGCAACAUAAAAAGCUUUGUGACUAUGUGUCUGAAUUCUUAGAGUUUUCUCCCAGCAAGACCUUGGAUGUGGCAGACUUUUCUGUAAUUGUCCAUCUCGCCCCUAUUUCAUGAAAAGCCAGAGCUUCUCUACUUAGUUUGCUAACCCCAAAUAUAUAAAUUCAAUAGAAGUACUAGCCUGUUUUUACUGGUUUAUUUGCUUUAUCUAAAAAAAACAAGGCAUAGUUUAAAGUCUGUUUUUGAUAGCAUAACAAAACAAAGGUUCUCAUUUUAAUAAUGCAUCACAUAUACACUUGGUAACUAUUGCAUAGUAAUAAUUUAAUAACUUGAGAAAUAUAUUUAUGCAUGUAUGUGUAUAUGUUCAUAUAUAUGUUAUUUUUAAUUCAGAAGUAAAACAAAUAUUGGAAGAGGCCACAGUUAUUAUAAAAAUAAUUUGACCAGUAUUGGACAAUGCAAAUAGCAAUCAUUUAGAAGUUUCU